UCAGUUUGUCGCUCCCACAUCAGUUCCACGCCGGCCGCUGCUCUCUUCCACAUCUCUCUCUCUCUCUCUGGUCAACGCCGGCCCCUGCUCUCUCUCCGUCGUACGGCGGCCGCUGCUCUCUACCUACUACGCCGGCUGGAGUCAGUCUCCCUCCUUGAGUAACCAAUCCCCUACCUCGACAAGCCGCCGUGGAAACGGACUCCCUCGCCGGAUCUGACGAACAGUCAGGACGCGGUGCAGUGCCUCUGUGUUGCCGCCGGUAGCGGAUCCCCGCGCCCCGGUGCCCACCACCGCCUCCCUGGUCCUCACUCUGGACUUUGGAGAUCCAACCGGAAAUCAUGGGAUACACCCCAAGUCAACCAGAUCCAGUUGUCGCCGACGCGGACGAGGAAGCAGGUCAGGAUCCACCGAGCUCCCACCCUUGCUUCUUCAUCAGAUGGACAGCUCCCCAUGCUUGUGAAUUUGAAAUAUACUAAAUGUUUCAGUUAUGGAAUCCACCAAAAUAUUCAACCAAUGGAAGGGAAGGUGUCAAAUUGAAAUUGAUGUGAAGAUUUGAAGCAGAUUGUGUGAUAUAUGUCACAUUGUUGUUCCGACAUUGAAAUAAAUAUGUAGAUAUGUGGAACUGCUAUGUGAUGUGAAAUGCAGAUUUGUGAAACUAAUAUCCUUGAUGUGAAAUGAAAUUGUAAUUGGAA